UUUUAAAUUUAGAGUUUGAUCCUGGCUCAGGACGAACGCUGGCGGCGUGCUUAACACAUGCAAGUCGAGCGAUGAAGCUUCCUUCGGGAGGUGGAUUAGCGGCGGACGGGUGAGUAACACGUGGGUAACCUGCCUCAAAGUGGGGGAUAGCCUUCCGAAAGGAAGAUUAAUACCGCAUAAUAUAAGAGAAUCGCAUGAUUUUUUUAUCAAAGAUUUAUUGCUUUGAGAUGGACCCGCGGCGCAUUAGCUAGUUGGUAAGGUAACGGCUUACCAAGGCAACGAUGCGUAGCCGACCUGAGAGGGUGAUCGGCCACAUUGGAACUGAGACACGGUCCAGACUCCUACGGGAGGCAGCAGUGGGGAAUAUUGCGCAAUGGGGGAAACCCUGACGCAGCAACGCCGCGUGGGUGAUGAAGGUCUUCGGAUUGUAAAGCCCUGUUUUCUAGGACGAUAAUGACGGUACUAGAGGAGGAAGCCACGGCUAACUACGUGCCAGCAGCCGCGGUAAUACGUAGGUGGCGAGCGUUGUCCGGAUUUACUGGGCGUAAAGGGUGCGUAGGCGGAUGUUUAAGUGGGAUGUGAAAUCCCCGGGCUUAACCUGGGGGCUGCAUUCCAAACUGGAUAUCUAGAGUGCAGGAGAGGAAAGCGGAAUUCCUAGUGUAGCGGUGAAAUGCGUAGAGAUUAGGAAGAACACCAGUGGCGAAGGCGGCUUUCUGGACUGUAACUGACGCUGAGGCACGAAAGCGUGGGUAGCAAACAGGAUUAGAUACCCUGGUAGUCCACGCCGUAAACGAUGGAUACUAGGUGUAGGGGGUAUCAACUCCCCCUGUGCCGUAGUUAACACAAUAAGUAUCCCGCCUGGGGAGUACGGUCGCAAGAUUAAAACUCAAAGGAAUUGACGGGGGCCCGCACAAGCAGCGGAGCAUGUGGUUUAAUUCGAAGCAACGCGAAGAACCUUACCUGGACUUGACAUCCCUUGCAUAGCCUAGAGAUAGGUGAAGCCCUUCGGGGCAAGGAGACAGGUGGUGCAUGGUUGUCGUCAGCUCGUGUCGUGAGAUGUUAGGUUAAGUCCUGCAACGAGCGCAACCCUUGUUAUUAGUUGCUACCAUUAAGUUGAGCACUCUAAUGAGACUGCCUGGGUAACCAGGAGGAAGGUGGGGAUGACGUCAAAUCAUCAUGCCCCUUAUGUCCAGGGCUACACACGUGCUACAAUGGUAGGUACAAUAAGACGCAAGACCGUGAGGUGGAGCAAAACUUAUAAAACCUAUCUCAGUUCGGAUUGUAGGCUGCAACUCGCCUACAUGAAGCUGGAGUUGCUAGUAAUCGCGAAUCAGAAUGUCGCGGUGAAUACGUUCCCGGGCCUUGUACACACCGCCCGUCACACCAUGAGAGCUGGUAACACCCGAAGUCCGUGAGGUAACCGUAAGGAACCAGCGGCCGAAGGUGGGAUUAGUGAUUGGGGUGAAGUCGUAACAAGGUAGCCGUAGGAGAACCUGCGGCUGGAUCACCUCCUUUCUA
rnacentral:rRNA from 1 species